GGUCAAGCCCUAAGUGGCUGAAGCGAACCCAACUCCGUCAGAUCCGGAAGGAAGCAGCGGUCAGUUUGUCUUCAGAGUGCUUUGUAAGCUUGGCCUUU
rnacentral:SRP_RNA from 1 species